rnacentral:rRNA from 1 species
UACGGAGGGGGCGAGCGUUAUUCGGAAUUACUGGGCGUAAAGCGUGCGCAGGCGGUCUUUUAAGUCAGAUGUGAAAUCCCCGGGCUUAACCUGGGAACUGCGUUUGAAACUGGAAGGCUUGAGUGUGGCAGAGGGGGGUGGAAUUCCACGUGUAGCAGUGAAAUGCGUAGAGAUGUGGAGGAACACCGAUGGCGAAGGCAGCCCCCUGGGCUAACACUGACGCUCAUGCACGAAAGCGUGGGGAGCAAACAGG